rnacentral:snRNA from 1 species
AUGCUCGCUUCAGCAACACAUAUACUAAAAUUGGAACCUUACAGAGAUUAGCAUGGCCCCUGUGCAAAGAAUAACACAGCUGUUAAUGAUAUCACAAGUUUAG